CUGAUAUGAGCUGGAUGUCAUUUGGUAUCAAUUCUUUAAGGUCACUUCCAUCCUUUCAUGUGUUGGCAUUGUUACAUAGCUAUCAUUUGUUAAACAAGAAACUAGGUCUUGAGUUACUUUCCUAUAGGCAUCAAUUGCUCUUCCUGCAUUUAUUCACCUUAUCCGUAGUGUGAUAUCAGAAAUCAGUCUCUUUGUUUUCCUGCUUAACCCACAUAAUCAAUUGUGUUGGUAGAGAUUGCAUUGUCAUGGCCAUGCUUGUUUUUGCUGUGUAGUUCUCAUGGCAUAUUCUUAAAUAAAAUCUUGGACGUUUUCCUUUCAAUACUUUCUUCUUUUGCUUUCGAUUUUUCUGCUUAAUGUGUCUUUAAUUUAUAAGUGUAUAGUUCUUGCCUGCUGUUUUGGUUAGUGGAAUAAAGGAGAAAGUUCUCUUUUCUGUUACUUGCACAUUUGUGUUGUCAAUUGUCAUCUAUUGAGCCAUAAUUUGCAGCUCGCAGAAUGCAAUUUAUGGUGAUGGAGGCUGGACAGGACUUGGGAGCGAAACAACCUCAGAAAAAUCAAGUGGCAAUGGUUACUCGGAGUGGUUUCUUUUGAAGGAUCAUCUGCUAGUGGGAGACAUGGUGCGUUCUAGAAAGCCAACAAAUGCACGCAAGUCAGAAAAUAUGGAUGUUCCAGAAGCA
rnacentral:misc_RNA from 1 species